rnacentral:tRNA from 2 species
AUUUAUAUAGUUUAUAAAAACAUUACAUUUUCACUGUAAAAAUAAAGAAAACUUUUAUAAAUA